AGAGGAUGCAACUCAAUUCAAGCUGGCAGCAUCUUAAAGCUGAACCACAAUGAUUGUUGCAAUUUUCAGAGAAGAAACAGAACAAUGUACCUACUGGAUUGACCAACGCAACCAAAAACAUUACAAGGCCAAUUUGGUUACUAGUUCUCGACCCUUUUUCAAACACACAAGUAAUCAUAAGCAGAGAAUUUAAUGGAACUCUCUGAAACAGAAAUUAAUCCAAAAGAUCCCCAAGUUAGUACAAGUUAUCAA
rnacentral:misc_RNA from 1 species